rnacentral:rRNA from 4 species
UUAAAUUGAAGAGUUUGAUCAUGGCUCAGAUUGAACGCUGGCGGCAGGCCUAACACAUGCAAGUCGAACGGUAACAGGAAGCAGCUUGCUGCUUUGCUGACGAGUGGCGGACGGGUGAGUAAUGUCUGGGAAACUGCCUGAUGGAGGGGGAUAACUACUGGAAACGGUGGCUAAUACCGCAUAACGUCGCAAGACCAAAGAGGGGGACCUUCGGGCCUCUUGCCAUCAGAUGUGCCCAGAUGGGAUUAGCUUGUUGGUGAGGUAACGGCUCACCAAGGCGACGAUCCCUAGCUGGUCUGAGAGGAUGACCAGCCACACUGGAACUGAGACACGGUCCAGACUCCUACGGGAGGCAGCAGUGGGGAAUAUUGCACAAUGGGCGCAAGCCUGAUGCAGCCAUGCCGCGUGUAUGAAGAAGGCCUUCGGGUUGUAAAGUACUUUCAGCGGGGAGGAAGGUGUUGUGGUUAAUAACCACAGCAAUUGACGUUACCCGCAGAAGAAGCACCGGCUAACUCCGUGCCAGCAGCCGCGGUAAUACGGAGGGUGCAAGCGUUAAUCGGAAUUACUGGGCGUAAAGCGCACGCAGGCGGUCUGUCAAGUCGGAUGUGAAAUCCCCGGGCUCAACCUGGGAACUGCAUUCGAAACUGGCAGGCUUGAGUCUUGUAGAGGGGGGUAGAAUUCCAGGUGUAGCGGUGAAAUGCGUAGAGAUCUGGAGGAAUACCGGUGGCGAAGGCGGCCCCCUGGACAAAGACUGACGCUCAGGUGCGAAAGCGUGGGGAGCAAACAGGAUUAGAUACCCUGGUAGUCCACGCCGUAAACGAUGUCUACUUGGAGGUUGUGCCCUUGAGGCGUGGCUUCCGGAGCUAACGCGUUAAGUAGACCGCCUGGGGAGUACGGCCGCAAGGUUAAAACUCAAAUGAAUUGACGGGGGCCCGCACAAGCGGUGGAGCAUGUGGUUUAAUUCGAUGCAACGCGAAGAACCUUACCUGGUCUUGACAUCCACGGAAGUUUUCAGAGAUGAGAAUGUGCCUUCGGGAACCGUGAGACAGGUGCUGCAUGGCUGUCGUCAGCUCGUGUUGUGAAAUGUUGGGUUAAGUCCCGCAACGAGCGCAACCCUUAUCCUUUGUUGCCAGCGAUUAGGUCGGGAACUCAAAGGAGACUGCCAGUGAUAAACUGGAGGAAGGUGGGGAUGACGUCAAGUCAUCAUGGCCCUUACGACCAGGGCUACACACGUGCUACAAUGGCGCAUACAAAGAGAAGCGACCUCGCGAGAGCAAGCGGACCUCAUAAAGUGCGUCGUAGUCCGGAUUGGAGUCUGCAACUCGACUCCAUGAAGUCGGAAUCGCUAGUAAUCGUGGAUCAGAAUGCCACGGUGAAUACGUUCCCGGGCCUUGUACACACCGCCCGUCACACCAUGGGAGUGGGUUGCAAAAGAAGUAGGUAGCUUAACCUUCGGGAGGGCGCUUACCACUUUGUGAUUCAUGACUGGGGUGAAGUCGUAACAAGGUAACCGUAGGGGAACCUGCGGUUGGAUCACCUCCUUACCUUAAAGAAGC